rnacentral:lncRNA from 1 species
CCACGCCACCUCCUACUAGCAACAACUUAUGUUGUCUCUUUCUCUUUCUGUUUCUGUUUCUCUCUCUUCUUUCAAUCGCUCUCUCUCAGAGUCUCAGUCGCUUUCUUUUUUCAAUCUCUUUCUCUCUCAAUCUCUCUCUCUCCCUUUUUCUAGCUCGCUGCUCGCCUUCGAGCUCAGCCCUACGCCCCUCCGACCGCCCUCUGCCUUCUCUCCACUUCUUUGAUUCUUGUUGACUUCAUCGGCUUUUAGCUUGUUGCCUUUUCUUUGCUCACCGCUGUCAUUGCUUUCAACAGGUGGUACACUAUCGUUGACUCAUCUCUCUUCUUUUACUCGCUCGUCGUAGUCAUUGAUUCUAGCAAUCGGUAGUCG